rfam:Camponotus floridanus CamFlo_1.0_4.contig1978, whole genome shotgun sequence.
UAAACGGCCCUUUUCAGGGCCAAAAAAUGUUUCCAACGUUGAUUC